CCUUCUUCUCAAGCGAUGUGGUUGGGAGGCCAAGGAGCUCAUGUACCUUUGCCUCAAGAAAUGUUAAUGGAUUCCUGGGGGAGUAACAUCCUCUCUCCCUCCCCACCAUUACCCUUCCCUGGCCACCAAUAUGAUUCAGGUUCUCUCUGUUAUGCCAGGCUAUGCUCUGGAAAAGAGAGAAAAAGGAAGAGGUUAAAAAUGAGAUUGAAGCCUCCCUUAAAAGGUGAAUACAUUGGGAUCCCACUGACCUUUGGCACCCUGCCUGCUGACUGGGCCUGUACUCUAUCCACUGUGCCACCUGGCCAUCCCACACACAGCCUCUUGAUGAAGUUGAUGCUGCUGCUCCACCUGCAGAGUUAGCAACUGGAUCUCUUGCUGAAGGACAUCAGUUUUCUGCAGGAGCCAGAGAACCUCCACAAUGAAAAAACUAGAAUAUGAGGCAAAAACAAGAUUUUUAUGGAAGGCCUCUGCAACACAUAUUCAGUCCUAAAUAAACCAAUAUUUGUAUGAAUUGGAGGUGAAGAAAGAGAGGAAGAACAGUUUUUGCAACACUGAUUUCCAGACAUGACAGGAAGAAUCUUCUGGAUGAUACGGCUGGUUCUGCAUGGAGACAAUAUGUAUGUCAAUGAGAAGGAGGCCACAAGGUCCAUGUAGAGUCCACAGCAAUGUCCUCAGAAAGGUUCCACUACAAUCUCUUUCUCACUAUUUAGCAAGUUUUCCUUGGAGCUGCCCCAGUGGAACUGUGCUACCUGGCCUGCUUGGAGCCAAGAAGAAGAGGACCAGUGAAUUACAAGAGUGACAUUUUGACUUGCAAGUGAUUUGGAUUUAAGUAAGACAGAGCUGUGCCAAGUCAUCAGCCCAACCCUCUGCUCCACAGUCAUCAGAGUUCUGGGCAACACAUAGGUCAGGACCACUGGAGGCAGCACCAGAUGCAUUAAAAGACCUUGAGCUUUUUAAAUUAAGGUGUUUCCCAGGUUUCAGUUUCUCUGAGGCAACACCCAUUUAGUGAUUCAGUUUGGUAAGCAAUGAGGCAAAAGAUGGCCUACUGUGCCUUCACAAAAGAAUCCAUCUGAAAGUGGAAGACCUUCAGAAUUUCUGACUAGAAUAAAACCUAUUAAGUGAGGAUAGGCCUCUCUAGCUAAAAGAAGGGACAUCUGAAAGGAAUAACAUCAGUCAUUUACAUCUUUGUUCAAAUUAGUCAGUUCCUGAGAACAGAAUCUUGCCAGUCAUGCAAAAUUUGCUGGAUGAGAAGGGAC